rnacentral:misc_RNA from 1 species
CUUUUUCUUUUUUUUUUUUAAUAUAAUUUUCUAUCCUUAAGAGACUCCAAAGCACUAAGAGGUACACUGGGACAGUGAAAAAUGAAAGUGAGAGAAUUACAGAGUAAUUCCUCUAGAUUCUGCUUCAAGAUAUUUGCAGAUCCUCUCCAUAACCUCUCUACCCUUUGCACUAUUAUGCAAGAACUUCUCAACACAACGUUGUUCUAUCUUCUCUGCCAUUGAUGCCAACGCAGAUAAUGGCUUGAUCCGUAUACUUGUCUCCUGCUGACAAAGUGUCCACUCACUAGGAUUAUCAGGGUGAGGUUUGUAGCGAAUCUUCUCCUCAACUUCUAUGAACUUCUGGAGACUGAUGUUACGACUGGUAAGCUGCAUUGACUGAGUUUGAGCAUCAACAACUGUUGAUUCAACACAAUGACAAAUGUCCUGACCAAUAAUUUUACGGAUGAACCAUGGUCCAGGAGCAUGCACUGUAACAGCACGAGUUGUGUAAAGUUUCCCAGAUUCCCGAUCAAGCUUCCAGUUCAGAGUGUCGACUUCAAGGAUAUGGGAUAGAAUCCGCUUGUUCUCAGGGUCAGUAAACUUGCGCCAAGAUGCAGAAGUUACCCUCUCCCAUGGAUGCUUGUACACAUGCUCUUGCACAUAUGCUCUUACCAUGCUGUUUGACUUGAUGCUCUUGGCUCGAGAAACAGAAGGGAGCAACAGCGACUAGAACCCUAGAACAGAUCUCACAGGGCGACGGAAAAAAGAAGAGGAAAACAAGGCACGAAAAUGAAAUUUUGAUGGUGGUAACUAGUAGGUGCUGUCUGUGUGGUUCUGCGGAGUACGUGC